rnacentral:rRNA from 1 species
UGAGGGAAAGGCGAAAAGAACCCCGGCGAGGGGAGUGAAAAAGAACCUGAAACCGUGUACGUACAAGCAGUGGGAGCACCCUUCGGGGUGUGACUGCGUACCUUUUGUAUAAUGGGUCAGCGACUUAUAUUCUGUAGCAAGGUUAACCGUAUAGGGGAGCCGGAGGGAAACCGAGUCUUAACCGGGCGUUAAGUUGCAGGGUAUAGACCCGAAACCCGGUGAUCUAGCCAUGGGCAGGUUGAAGGUUGGGUAACACUAAC